UACGUAGGGGGCAAGCGUUGUCCGGAAUCAUUGGGCGUAAAGAGCGUGUAGGCGGCCCGAUAAGUCCGCUGUGAAAGUCCAGGGCUCAACCCUGGAAUGCCAGUGGAAACUGUCGGGCUGGAGUCCGGAAGAGGCGAGUGGAAUUCCUGGUGUAGCGGUGAAAUGCGCAGAUAUCAGGAGGAACACCGGUGGCGAAGGCGGGCCUCUGGGCCGAUACUGACGCUGAGGAGCGAAAGCGUGGGGAGCGAACAGG
rnacentral:rRNA from 1 species